rnacentral:rRNA from 1 species
AGAGUUUGAUCCUGGCUCAGGAUGAACGCUAGCGGCAGGCUUAACACAUGCAAGUCGAACGGUAACAGAUCUAGCUUGCUAGAUGCUGACGAGUGGCGCACGGGUGCGUAACACGUAUACAAUCUACCUUUAACUGAGGGAUAGCCCAGAGAAAUUUGGAUUAAUACCUCAUAGUAUCAUAUUAAGGCAUCUUUUUAUGAUUAAAACUCCGGUGGUUAAAGAUGAGUAUGCGUUCUAUUAGUUUGUUGGUAAGGUAACGGCUUACCAAGACUACGAUAGAUAGGGGGCCUGAGAGGGCGAUCCCCCACACUGGUACUGAGACACGGACCAGACUCCUACGGGAGGCAGCAGUGAGGAAUAUUGCGCAAUGGAGGAAACUCUGACGCAGCCAUGCCGCGUGUAGGAAGAAUGUCCUAUGGAUUGUAAACUACUUUUAUACAAGAAGAAAUUUUAGUACGUGUACUAAAUUGACGGUAUUGUAAGAAUAAGCACCGGCUAACUCCGUGCCAGCAGCCGCGGUAAUACGGAGGGUGCAAGCGUUAUCCGGAUUUAUUGGGUUUAAAGGGUCCGCAGGCGGGGUUCUAAGUCAGUGGUGAAAGCCUACAGCUCAACUGUAGAACUGCCAUUGAUACUGGAAUUCUUGAGUGUGGUUGAAGUAGACGGAAUAUGUCAUGUAGCGGUGAAAUGCAUAGAUAUGACAUAGAACACCAAUUGCGUAGCAGUUUACUAAACCAUUACUGACGCUCAUGGACGAAAGUGUGGGGAGCGAACAGGAUUAGAUACCCUGGUAGUCCACACCGUAAACUAUGAUCACUAGAUGUUGGCGAUACAUAGUCAGUGUCUUAGAGAAAUCGUUAAGUGAUCCACCUGGGGAGUACGUUCGCAAGAUGAAACUCAAGGAAUUGACGGGGGCCCGCACAAGCGGUGGAGCAUGUGGUUUAAUCGAUGAUACGCGAGACUUACCCAGGCUUAAAUUUAAACGACGAUGGAGAAAUCAUCUUUUUUCGAACGGUUUGCAAGUGCUGCAUGAUGUCCGUCAGCUCGUGCCUGGAGGUGUCGUAAGUUCCAUACCGAGGCACGUAUCUUUAGUUGCAGCGAGUAUGUCGACUUGGACUGCUCGUCACGAGAGUGGAUGACGUCAAUUCUAUUCCG